CAAAGUAUUUCAUUUCCAUUUCAUAUAUUUUUCAGGAACUGUAUCAAAGUCAUGGCAGGACAAGAGUCUACAAUCUGCGAAGAGACGUACUGUUGGAGAUGGUAAAAGGUUUAUUGUUGUUAAUGCUGGAGGGCGCACUGGCUUUGUGCCAGGAGCAGGAUUACUUUUUGUUUCAGGUCAGAAGACUGCAGACUACCAUGGCGAGAUGAAUGGGGAAACUUUCUUGAUGUGGUUUGAAGACAUGUUGGUGCAUCUGGAGGAACCCAGUGUCAUUAUAAUGGACAAUGCUUCAUAUCACAGCACCCAGGUUGAGAAAACACCUACAACGAACUGGACCAAGGAUGCACUGAUCGCGUGGCUGGAGAAGAAUGAGAUAAAACAUGAAAAUAAUUUUCUGAAAGUGGAGCUGCUGAGAAUAGCUAAACAAAACAAGCCCCGAAUACGGUAUAUUAUUUCGUUUUUUUUACAGCAUUUCUUUAAAAGUGAGAUAGUUGCAAAAAAUUACGUAUACGCCUUGUUCUAACACACUUUUCAGAUAUGAGGUAGACGAGUUGGCUUGUAACUAUGGCCACAAAAUUCUACGACUCCCACCCUAUCACUGCCACUAUAAUGCAAUCGAACUAGUUUGGGCUCAAUGUAAACACCAUUACAAUAGUAACGUGGGGCGGGCCAAGAGAUUUGACAAUGAUGCAGUUGCAGCCAUCUGGAAAGAGGCUCUUGAUGCUUCCACACCAGAGAGAUGGGCGAGGUGUGUGGAUCACGUGGAGAAGCUAAUUCAAGCAGACUGGGAGAGAGAAAUCCACAUAGACAGCGGCACCAUUCCUCCACUCAUCAUCCACCUCGGCGAGGAUAGUUCAAGUGAAGACAGUGACAGCGAAGAAUUUGAGGUUACGACACAGCAAGUAGAUGGAGACAGUGAAGUACUGGCAGUUCCUCUUGAUGAUUUACCCGGGUGUUCUUAUUGAGGUCUGUAUGUAAUAAACACCUGGGCAACUGUAAGUAUUGGGGUUUGAAACAUUUUUUUUUCUUUUAUGCAUUCCC